rnacentral:rRNA from 1 species
UACGGAGGGAGCUACCGUUGUUCGGAAUUACUGGGCGUAAAGCGCACGUAGGCGGCUUUGUAAGUUAGAGAUGAAAGCCCGGAGCUCAACUCCGGAACUGCCUUUAAGACUGCAUCGCUUGAAUCCAGGAGAGGUGAGUGGAAUUCCGAGUGUAGAGGUGAAAUUCGUAGAUAUUCGGAAGAACACCAGUGGCGAAGGCGACUUACUGGACACAUAUUGACGCUGAGGUGCGAAAGCGUGGGGAGCAAACAGG